rnacentral:rRNA from 1 species
UACGAAGGGGGCUAGCGUUGUUCGGAAUCACUGGGCGUAAAGCGCACGCAGGCGGAUUGCUAAGUCAGGGGUGAAAUCCUGGAGCUCAACUCCAGAACUGCCCUUGAUACUGGCGGUCUCGAGUCCGGGAGAGGUGAGUGGAACUGCGAGUGUAGAGGUGAAAUUCGUAGAUAUUCGCAAGAACACCAGUGGCGAAGGCGGCUCACUGGCCCGGUACUGACGCUGAGGUGCGAAAGCGUGGGGAGCAAACAGG